UAUAUUUUGGUGUAUGAUGCACGAAAGUUUUUGAUACUUUUAGAGAUAGUUUAAUUCUGUCAAAUAUAA
rnacentral:tRNA from 1 species